GCGCCUGCCAAGGGGUGGCCACGGCCUGAGACGCUCUCGCGAGCGAACCCUUCGAACCUGAACCGGACAAUACCGGCGUAGGGAUGGUGUCGAAGGUCCGC
rnacentral:ncRNA from 2 species